GACGUAGGGUGCGAGCGUUGUCCGGAAUUAUUGGGCGUAAAGAGCUUGUAGGCGGUUUGUCGCGUCUGCUGUGAAAAUCCGGGGCUCAACCCCGGACUUGCAGUGGGUACGGGCAGACUAGAGUGUGGUAGGGGAGACUGGAAUUCCUGGUGUAGCGGUGAAAUGCGCAGAUAUCAGGAGGAACACCGAUGGCGAAGGCAGGUCUCUGGGCCACUACUGACGCUGAGAAGCGAAAGCAUGGGGAGCGAACAGG
rnacentral:rRNA from 1 species